AUUGAACGCUGGCGGCAGGCCUAACACAUGCAAGUCGAACGAGUGGCGGACGGGUGAGUAAUGUCUGGGAAACUGCCCGAUGGAGGGGGAUACCUACUGGAAACGGUAGCUAAUACCGCAUACCAUCGGAUGUGCCCAGGUGGGAUUAGGUAGUGGGUGGGUUAAUGGCUCACCUAGGCGAAGAUCCCUAGCUGGUCUGAGAGGAUGACCAGCCACACGGGAACUGAGACACGGUCCAUACUCCUACGGGAGGCAGCAGUGGUGAAUAUUGCGCAAUGGGGGCAAGCCUGAUACAGCCAUGCCGCGUGUAUGAAGAAGGCCUUCGGGUUGUAAAGUACUUUCAGCGGGGAGGCGUUACCCACAGAAGAAGCACCGGCUAACUCCGUGCCAGCAGCCGCGGUAAUAC
rnacentral:rRNA from 1 species